rnacentral:lncRNA from 1 species
AUCUUUGAGGUGAAGGCGCUUCUCAUUGGACGCCCAGGCUGAGGUUCUUUCUUUCAGAAUGAAAGGGAGGCGGGGUCGCCCGGGAGGCGGAGCGAUCGUCCGCCAUGGCCAAUUAUAAUUGCUCUGAGUGGACAUCAGACGUGCCCAACGGGCUUUGGAUUGGGUGUUCGGGGGACGGGGCGUGACGAGAAGUGCCAGGUGUACAGAAAGAUUCUCCCUUGGUUCCCAGAUUGGGUCCGCCUGUGAGACCAGGACCUCGCGGAGUAGCCCAAAGGCUGGGAAAUGCUGAUAAGAGGUUCAGCUGCUCGUCGUAUUCCCUCCGAUGAUCUUGUUUCUACACUAUUUUCCUUCCAGAAACACUGGAGGGGGAUGGGCCAUAAAUUUCAAACACAUGCACCCUUUGAGAGUGGCAUGGGCUUCUAGGAGGCUUUGC